ACGUGGUGCGCCAGCUUUGCCCCAUCUGAUACCGGACGAGCACACAAGCGUAGAAGACGGCAUGUUCCCGGUCGACCCUGCGCACGAGUCGGCACUCGCGGACCCGCUGUUUAUGCUGCGGCUGUACAAGCGAGUCGCGUACGGUCUUGUGCGGCGCCCGCACGCCGACGGCGCCCGAGCUUUGCUGCCUUCGUUCCUUUCUGUGGACGCCCGCUACGCCGAGUCGAACAACGCCGCGGUUGACCCGGCGGCGCUGCUCACCGCUGUGGAGCCGAUAUUCCCGACGUCUUUGCUGACACACAAGGAGGUCUGCCUUCUUCUUCGCGUCCUGCCGCUGGAGGAGGAGGAGUCGGCGCCGAGCGCAGAGAAUGAGAACGCCUUCGGGGUGGCACAGAGGGGCAGGGGCAGCUCCGUCCCUAGAGGCAUCCGACCGGGUAGUGUCACGCUGGCGUUGCGGGAGAUCAUCCCGUUUCGGACGUGGCAGGUAUCGCAGACUGUGGCGACUGUCCGCCGUACGGUGCAAAAGAGUGCCGUCAUGAGCCCCUUCGAAGAGCACGUCGUGGACCUGCUGGAUUGGCAGAGCAGCCGCCGCCGCCAGGCAAAGGAGGCAGCUCCACCUCCGCUGGAGCGCUGGGAGGCGCUGACGUUUAUGGAGAACACCUGUGGGCUGAGCAGCUCCGAAUCGCGUGGGCUGCUGCACUACUGCGCCAGCGAGGAGGGCGAUGACGCCGAGGACGGGGCGACGACCGGCUCGUACCUGGGCUGCGAGGUGCAACUGCUGCACCAGCUGCUGUUCAGCGAAGUGAUCCCUGGUGUCGCCGAGUAUCCGCUGCUGAUGGGACGCUUCGCAGAAGCUACCCUAGAGAUUGGAGAGACGGAGGGUUGUCACACCGGCACGCUUGCCCUCCUGAGCGUCCUGGAGUCGAUUGAGCUUCAUUACCCGGAGUGCAGCCGACGGCUGCCACCGGAUUUAGAUAUCGGGACGCUGGUGCGGGCAGAGCUGACGCCGCGGCACUUCUUCUACGUGUGCACCCGGCUGCACACCGGGUUCCGCCAGGAGGAGUCUGAUCAGCUCUACUACUACCUCAAGAAGGACCGCGAAACCGAUGACGGCGUGCUUGUCGCGGACCUACUUGCCGCGUACCGGCAAUACUUCCCCUCAGUCACGGUCUCGAUGCUGCAGCUGGUGCAAGCGGCUGUGGUGCAGUGGAUACGACGCAAUGCCAAGGAUGCGCCAGCAUUUGUGCAGCUCUACUCAGCGCUGAGAGAGUGGGGUGCCGCGCAUGUUCCGAUCAAGUCGUUCAUUAAAGCGCUGCGCGCUGCUGGGGUGCCGGACGGUAUCUCGGGUGUGUUGGAUGUUGAGCUCGAGUGGCUGCGGCUGAAGUCCCCAACCCGCGUGGAUUUACUCCUGAUGCUAUGCAGCCCCGUCCCGCCGUCGCGCACUGCCAUUAUUCGUAAGCUGUUCGACCGACUUGACGAGCGACGGCUUGGCACGGUUACCUGCGCUGUGGUUCUGAGGUGCUUCCAUCCAGAGCUCAUCGAAGGCAACGCCUUGCGUCGACAAGGCGCAAUGUGGAAGAAGGCGCUGGAGGCGUACGCCGCGGAGUUGGGGGAGGGGGAGCUCGACUACGACGUCUUCGCAUAUUUUUGGUACAUGAUUUCCGCCGACAUCGAGGACGACCCAACAUUCACGAUGGCCCUCUGGCAGGCGUUCGGCCUCUCCGAUGACGGGCAACGAUCUAGACGCACCUAGUGUCGUUGUAAGGGGAGGCAAAGAGGUGCGCUAGGCCGGUGGAGGGCGGCGAUGACAUGCCGAGCGGGAACAGGAUAAGUCCUCUGUUCCAGGUGCGAGCAUGCCUCGGUGCACAUGAGCAGCAGAGCACAGCACGCGCAUACUCGGCACCUCCGUCACGUCCGCCGAACGGCCUCUAAUCUACCCAAAUCGGCGUAUAGACGCCACCGAACAGGUACGUGUGAGCGAGUGCUUAGGCCUGUGCCUGUUUUACUCACCGCCGCCGCCCACGGUCGAGUGUUGUGACCUUCAUGCCAUCUUGACUACUCACCUUUUUCUCUCGGCUAG
rnacentral:misc_RNA from 1 species